CAUAAUUUUCCAGAUUAUGUGAAGGUGGAGAAUUAUUAGAAAGAAUUUUAUCCAGAGGUGGAAGGUACUCAGAGGAGGAUGCAAAAGCUAUAGUUAUUCAAAUACUGAGUGUAAUCGCCUUUUGUCAUCUUCAAGGUGUUGUGCAUCGUGAUUUAAAGCCAGAGAGAUGAAAAUGCUCAGAUGAAGUUGAUUGAUUUUGGCCUUUCCAAUUUUGUUA